rnacentral:rRNA from 1 species
AUGUCAGACUGUGCCAGGAAUAGAUUCAAUGAGAAAGAAGACUUCCAAGUUGUUUUGGGCAAAGGAAAUCCUGGAGAGUCAUCUUGCCAGCAACAUACCAAGUGGAUGGCACACUGGACCAGAGCAAGCAGCAGUCCAUAUGGCAAGAGCUGUAGUCCUUUGGAGGAUGACAACAAUAGGACCUGCACAAAAGAUUCUGAAACUUCACCUUUUGAGCUUAGGAAAUCCACUGUGGCCGAAAGGCUAAUGUUGGGAAGAAACCAUGAAGGAAUUUCAAUGAAGAAUGUGCUGCGGUUAGACCCUAACAUGUGGGAUGUGGGGCAUGAUGCUUGGCAAGAAGCUGAACAAACCAAAACUGAAUGGCGAGAUGGGCAUUUUCAAAGCUGUAAGAUCCAGAUGCAGAAAGAUGAAAAUUUCUAUGCCAAGAGGGUAGUAUCAGAAACACUUUCCGUUUGCAGGCUUUCAGACCUACCAUUGGAUUUUCAGAAACUUGUGAGCUCAGAAGAGAACCCUGAUGAUUCACAUUGGAACCAGAUUCCUAUGUUGUCAUUCAAUAAGAAAGUUGAAACUAUACUCAGACCAAAGCGGAAGUAUGCGACCGGUACUGUGUUCGAUGAUCUCUUUGUGCCACAACAAAUUCCGAAGCUAAACGUGGCUCCAUCUCGAAUGACUGACAUGGUCAUGGAUCAUUGCAAACCUUCACGGGGCAUCAAAUAUCUCCUAGAAGACCCUACCUGUCUCGUUUCUGAUCAUUCAGGGAAGAAACUAAAAGUAGACAGUAACUCAUCAUCAGAUUGUGGAAUGGAUGAGCAGGGUACAGGUCACUAUUUUGCAAACCCAAAUCAGGAGCCACUCGGCAGAUGUGGCGAAAAGCAGUUCAAUCUUUCAGAAAACAGUGACAAGGGCCAAACAGUUGGAGGUGCGCCUCAGAAUCACAAGUCAAGAACACCUACUAGACUCAGAAAACAUGAAGUUGCUGCAGGAGUCAUGCUUUCCGCGCCAGCACUUGGUAAAGAAUACGAGACCAUACCAAUCAAUUACUUUAUGAAGAGCAAGCAGGAUGAUGAGGACUUUUAUGUUGCAAGUCAUUCGAUAUCUGAUAAGCACCAUGAUCUGAAUACCCACAGAAUGGAAUAUGCAGCGAAUGUAACGGACUCCUGCAUGUUCCCUGAUCCAGCUGCAAGCAUACUGGCAAUGAAUAGUAAGGGUGGCGCGGUGACCCGUGAAAGACAACCGGUCGACAGAUUUACAGAUUCUGUUGAACAAAACGGUCCCUGUUUAUUUGAAAUGCUGACAAUCCCUUCCAAAUCACAGAGUACGUACCCGAUAGAUUCGCUGUCUUCUUGCAGUCCUUUAUUUGGAGCCCAGAACCAAUUCUCACCUAAAGCUAAAACGAUGCGUGGAGAUUCACAACAUGUGUCAAAAUCCUCAGCAGGCACCGCUUCAUCGUUGAUGCAAAAGGACAAUGGCUGCGCAGAAAGAGCAAAUGAGCAGCUGGCAACUCUGUCCAUAGAAGGAUCGCCAAGAUACAACAAAGAAAACAUAUUUCGUAAUGUCAGUGUCAAUCACUCGAUGCCGGAAACAGAAAUCAUGGACUUGGACCCCCCGCUGUUCCAAAGCAGCACAAGAAAUCAAGUCCCCAGUGACACGGUUCGGUCGUCGGCGGGUGCCGAUCCAAGCGAGAAAUGGCUCAAGCGCCUGCUCCAUGACACCGCGGACCCUCAUGUCCACCGUUCCAAGAGGCCCAGAACCGGAGACUAUCUUCCGGUUGGAGGAGCAGGUGGAAUGUCCGGCACCGACAUCGCCGACCAUGUUGAGGCAAGGUGUGUUCGCUGCUGGAUAGGAAGGUUGUGCCGGGGUGGCGUCGCCCCUGUUCCGCACGGAGAACAAGGGCAGGGAACGAGAGCAGCAGCGGAGCCUGACGUCGCGGCCAGGGAACUUGGAGGCCAUUUCCCGAGCAUCAAGGCGAUGGCGAUGAUCGGGCGGAUGAUGAGCAAGGCCCGGCCAUUGGAUUAUCAGAGGAAGGGGCCUUGUGUUAUGUGGAAGGCAGAGGAAGGAGCCUGA